GGUCACCCAAAAUGCGUAUAUACAACCCAACGAAACAACGUUCCUCCAGACCACGGUCACCCACAAUACAUAUAUACAACCCAACGAAACAACGUCCCUCUGGACCACGGUCACCCACAAUACAUAUAUACAACCCAACGAAAGAACGUCCCUCUGGACCACGGUCACCCACAAUACAUAUAUACAACCCAACGAAACAACGUUCCUCUGGACCACGGUCACCCACAAUACAUAUAUACAACCCAAUGAAACAACGUUCCUCUGGACCACGGUCACCCACAAUACAUAUAUACAACCCAACAAAACAACGUCCCUCCGGACCACGGUCACCCACAAUACAUAUAUACAACCCAACGAAACAACGUUCUUCUGGACCACGGUCACCCACAAUACAUAUAAACAACCCAACGAAACAACGUUCUUCUGGACCACGGUCACCCACAAUACAUAUAUACAACCCAACGAAACAACGUCCCUCCAGACCACGGUCACCCACAAUACAUAUAUACAACCCAACGAAACAACGUCCCUCCGGACCACGGUCACCCACAAUACAUAUAUACAACCCAACGAAACAACGUUCCUCUGGACCACGGUCACCCACAAUACAUAUAAACAACCCAACGAAACAACGUUCUUCUGGACCACGGUCACCCACAAUACAUAUAUACAACCCAACAAAACAACGUCCCUCCGGACCACGGUCACCCACAAUACAUAUAUACAACCCAACGAAACAACGUCGCUCCGGACCACGGUCACCCACAAUACAUAUAUACAACCCAACGAAACAACGUUCCUCUGGACCACGGUCACCCACAAUACAUAUAUACAACCCAACGAAACAACGUUCCUCCAGACCACGGUCACCCACAAUACGUAUAUACAACCCAACGAAACAACGUUCCUCCGGACCACGGUCACCCACAAUACGUAUAUACAACCCAACGAAACAGCGUCCCUCCGGACCACGGUCACCCACAAUACGUAUAUACAACCCAACGAAACAACGUUCCUCCGGACCACGGUCACCCACGAUACGUACAUACAACCCAACGAAACAACGUUCCUCCGGACCACGGUCACCCACGAUACGUACAUACAACCCAACGAAACAACAUUCCUCCGGACCACGGUCACCCACAAUACAUAUAUACAACCCAACGAAACAACGUUCCUCCGGACCACGGUCACCCACAAUGCAUAUAUACAACCCAAUGAAACAAUGUUCCUCCGGACCACGGUCACCCACAAUACGUAUAUACAACCCAAUGAAACAGCGUUCCUCUGGACCAUGAUCACCCACAAUACAUAUAUACAACCCAACGAAACAAUGUUCUUCCGGACCACGGUCACCCACAAUACAUAUAUACAACCCAACGAAACAACGUUCCUCCGGACCACGGUCACCCACAAUACAUAUAUACAACCCAACGAAACAAUGUUCCUCCGGACCACGGUCACCCACAAUACAUAUAUACAACCCAACGAAACAACGUUCCUCCGGACCACGGUCACCCACAAUACAUAUAUAACACACACAGCACACAAACCAAAAUAUUACAAGUUAAAAAAAUAUAAUUCAAAAUGCAAGUAGCACACAGUACCAGUAGACAGUCAACAGUUCAGUAAACAGCUCAAAGAAAUUUUUAUUAUCAAAGUACAUAUGUCACCACAUACAGCCCUGAGUGAGAUCCAUUUUCCUGUGGGCAUACACAAUGAAUCUAUAGAAUAGUAUCUAUAACAGCAUCAAUGAAAGAUCAACCAGAGCGCAGAAGACAACACACUGUGCAAAUGCAAAUAUAAAUAUAAUGCUGCUUUCCUACAACAGUGUUUCAUAUAGAUGUGCUCAAUGGUUGGAAGGACUUUACCCAUGUGGUACUGGGCUGUAUCCAAUACUUUUUGGAAGAUUUUCUGUUUAAAGGCAUUGGUGUUUCCAUACCAGGCUUUGCUGCAGUCUUUACUCUCCUCUAUGCAGUUAUACAAGUUCGUCAAAAAUUUAAAUGUCAUUCUGAAUCUCUGCAAACUCCGAAGGAAGUCAAGGCGAUGCGGUGCUUUCUUUGUAAUAGCACUUAACAUACUGGGCCCAUGAUAGGUACUCUGAUAUAGUAACACACAAGAAUUGAAAAUUCACUGUCCCACUGUCCUAGUGACGAGAACCUGGCGGUAUUCAUUAGUUUCAUAGCCUGAAGGAAGAAGCCGUUAUCUAGUCUAGCAGUCCUAGUCCUGAUGCUCCUGCAUCUCCUUCCUGACGAUAGUUGGUCAAAGAGAUUUGUAGGAUGGGUGAUGAGAUCCUCAACAAUGUUUUGGGCCCUUUGUCCUGGUAAGUGUCACAAAUUGGGGGGGGGGGGGUGGUGAUGGAUGGAUGACAUGAUUUCACACAAUGCAUCUAAGUGAAAAAACCACAACAGUGUAUAUUUGGGUGAACAUUAGAAGUUGUUUAUCAGAUUCUAUGACAGAACUAUUUCUAUCUGCAGAUUAAGCUGCUGUGCCAGUAACCUUUGGACACGACUGGUUUUCAAUUAAGUUCUACCUCUCUUCUUGCAUCUGUUGCCGGAAGGAACAAACAAGAUGUUUUUAGCACUGAACAUUUUGGCAUGGAAACUACUGCGAUGGACAGGAAGUGUCUACAACGGCUUGUCAAAAAUAUCCAUCAUUAACACUAGCCUACCUGCCAUCAAGGACAUAUAUACAGAAAGGUGUCGGAAAAGGGCCAGUUACAUCGUGAAGGAUCCCACCCACCUUGCUCAUGGACUGUUUGUCCCACUCCCAUCAGGGACGGGGUUACAUGGCAUCAACGCCAGGACCAACAGAUUCAUAGUUACUUACCCCAAGCAGUAAGGCUGUUCAACACUAACCUACCCCUCCACACCACCAAAAAAAAACUACUUUAACGUUUCCUCUCAGUCACCAUAUACAGAGGCAUGCAAAAGUUUGGGCACCCCUGGUCAAAAUUUCUAUUACUGUGAAUAGCUAAGUGAGUAGAAGAUGAAGGGAACUCCAAAAGUCAAAGUUAAAGAUGAAACAUUCUUUUCAACAUUUCAACUUUCUUUGUCAAGGACUCUCCUACACCCACCGAUGACCCCUCCUCCUGUCUUCAACCCUCCUCCUCUUCAUGGACACCCCACUCUGGUCUUCUACCUGCUCUGGAUCUCUUUAUUGCUAAUUGCCGAUGGGACAUCAACUGUCUUGACUUCACCACACCCUGUUCCAAUUCCAACCUCACUCCUUCCGAACGCACUGCUCUCCGCUCCCUCCGCACCAAUCCCAACCUCACUAUAAAACCUGCUGAUAAGGGGGGAGCUGCUGUCUGGCGUACUGACCUCUACCUGGCCGAGGCACAGCGACAACUCUCUGAUACCUCCUCUUAUUUACCCCUUGAUCAUGACCCCACUAAGGAGCACCAGGCCAUUGUCUCCUAUACCAUCACCAACCUUAUCAGCUCUGGGGAUCUCCCAUCCACUGCCACCAACCUCAUAGUUCCCACACCCCGCACUUCCCGUUUCUACCUCCUACCCAAGAUCCACAAACCUGCCUGUCCAGGUAGACGCAUUGUAUCAGCUUGCUCCUGCCCCACUGAACUCAUUUCUGCAUACCUUGACACUGUCUUAUCCCCCUUGUUCAAUCUCUUCCCACCUAUGUUCGUGACAUUUCUCAUGCUUCGAAUUUUUUCAAAGAUUUUAAGUUCCCUGGCCCCCACCGUCUUAUUUUCACCAUGGACAUCCAGUCCCUAUAUACCUCCAUCCCCCACUGGGAUGGUCUCGAAGCUCUUCGUUUUUUUUUGGAUUCCAGACCUAACCAAUUCCCCUCUACCACCACUCUCCUCCGUCUAGCGGAAUUAGUUCUUACUCUCAAUAAUUUCUCCUUUGACUCCUCCCACUUCCUCCAAACCAAGGGUGUAGCCAUGGGCACCCGUAUGGGUCCCUGUUAUGCCUGCCUUUUUGUUGGCUUUGUGGAACAGUCCAUGUUCCAAGGCUAUACUGGUAUCCAUCCCCCUCUUUUCCUUCGCUACAUCGACGACUGCAUUGGCACUACCUCUUGCACACGUGCUGAGCUCGUUGACUUCAUUAACUUUGCCUCCAGCUUUCACCCUGCCCUCAAAUUUACCUGGUCCAUUUCCGACACUUCCCUCCCCUUUUUUGAUCUUUCUGUCUCCAUCUCUGGAGACGGCCUAUCUACUGAUAUCUACUAUAAGCCUACAGACUCUCACAGCUAUCUGGACUAUUCCUCUUCCCACCCUGUCUCUUACAAAAAGGCUAUCCCCUUCUCACAAUUCCUCCGUCUCCGCCGCAUCUGCUCUCAGGAUGAGGCUUUUCAUUCCAGGACGAAGGAGAUGUCUUCCUUUUUUAAACAAAGGGGCUUCCCUUCAUCCACCAUUAACUCUGCUCUCAAACACAUCUCUCCCAUUUCCCGCACAUCUGCCCUCACCCCAUCCACCCGCCACCCCACUCGGGAUAGGGUUCCCCUUGUCCUUACCUACCACCCCACCAGCCUCCAGGUCCAACAUAUAAUUCUCCAUAACUUCCGCCACCUCCAACAGGAUCCCACUACCCAGCACAUCUUUCCCUCCCCCCCCCUUCUGCUUUUCACAGGGAUCGCUCCCUACGCGACUCCCUUGUCCACUCGUCCCCCCCAUCCCUUCCCACCGAUCUCCCUCCUGGCACUUAUCCUUGUAAACGGAACAAGUGCUACACCUGCCCUUACACUUCCUCCCUCACCACCAUUCAGGGCCCCAGACAGUCCUUCCAGGUGAGGCGACACUUCACCUGUGAGUCGGCUGGUGUGGUAUACUGCGUCCAGUGCUCCCGGUGUGGCCUUUUAUAUAUUGGUGAGACCCGACGCAGACUGGGAGACCGAUUCGCUGAGCACCUACGCUUGGUCCGCCAGAAAAAGCAGGAUCUCCCAGUGGCCACACAUAUUAAUUCCACGUCCCAUUCCCAUUCUGAUAUGUCUAUCCAUGGCCUCCUCUAUUGUCAAAAUGAAUCCAAACUCAGGUUGGAGGAACAACACCUUAAAUACCAGCUGGGUAGCCUCUAACCUGAUGGCAUGAACAUUGACUUCUCUAACUUCCGUUAAUGCCCCUCCUCCCCUUCUUACACCAUCCCUGACAUAUUUAGUUGUUUGCCUGUUCUCCAUCUCCCUCUGGUGCUCCCCCCACUUUCUUUCUCCUGAGGCCUCCCAUCCCAUGAUCCUUUCCCUUCUCCAGCUCUGUAUCACUUUCGCCAAUCACCUUUCCAGCUCUUAGCUUCAUCCCACCCCCCCCCCCCCGUCUUCUCCUAUCAUUUCGCAUUUCCCCCUCCCCCCACUACUUUCAAAUCUCUUACUAUCUUUCCUUUUGGUUAGUCCUGACGAAGGGUCUCGGCCCGAAAGGUCGACAGCGCUUCUCCCUAUCGAUGCUGCCUGGUCUGCUGUGUUCCACCAGCAUUUUGUGUGUGUUGUUGUUUCAACAUUUUAAGCAAGAUUAGUGUAUUAUUUUUGUUUUGUACAAUUUUAGACUGGAAAAAAAUAAGGAGCACCAUGCAAAAGUUUGGGCACCCCAAGAGAUUUGAGCUCUCAGAUAACUUUUACCAAGGUCUCAGACCUUAAUUAGCUUGUUAGGGCUAUGGCUUGUUCACAGUCAUCGUUAAGAAAGGCCAGUUGAUGCAAAUCUCAAAGUUUUAUAAAUACCCUGACUCUUCAAACCUUGUCCCACCAAUCAGCAGCCAUGGGCACCUCUAAGCAGCUGCCUAGCACUCUGAAAAUUAAAAUAAACGAUGCCCACAAAGCAGGAGAAGGCUAUAUGAAGAUAGCAAAGCAUUUUCAGGUAGCCGUUUCCUCAGUUUGUAAUGUAAUUAAGAAAUGGCAGUUAACAGGAACAGUGGGGGGUCAAGUUGAGGUCUGGAAGACCAAGAAAACUUUCCAAGAAAAUUGCUUGCAGGAUUGCUAGAAAGGCAAAUCAAAACCCCUGUUUGACUGCAAAGGACCUUCAGGAAGAUUUAGCAGACUCUGGAGUGGUGGUGCACUGUUCUACUGUGCAGUGACACCUGCACAAAUAUGACCUUCAUGGAAGAGUCAUCAGAAAAAAAACAUUUCCUGCGUCCUCACCACAAAAUUCAGCGUCAGAAGUUUGCAAAGGAACAUCUAAACAAGCCUGAUACAUUUUUGAAACAAGUCCUGUGGACUGAAGUUAAAAUAGAACUUUUUGGCCGCAAUGAGCAAAACUAUGUUUGGAGAAAAAAGGGUGCAGAAUUUCAUGGAAAGAACACCUCUCCAACUGUUAAGCACGGGGGUGGAUCGAUCAUGCUUUGGGCUUAUGUUGCAGCCAGUGGCACGGGGAACAUUUCACUAGUAGAGGGAAGAAUGAAUUCAAUUAAAUAGCAGCAAAUUCUGGAAGCAAACAUCACACUGUCUGUAAAAAAGCUGAAGAUGAAAAGAGGAUGGCUUCUACAACAGGAGAAUGAUCCUAAACUCACCUCAAAAUCCAUAAUGGACUACCUCAAGAGGCACAAGCUGAAGGUUUGCCAUGGCUCUCACAGUCCCCCAACCUAAACAUCAUCGAAAAGCUGUGUAUAGACCUCAAAAGAGCAGUGCAUGCAAGACAGCCCAAGAAUCUCACAGAACUAGAAGCCGUUUACAAGGAAGAAUAGGCGAAAAUCCCCCAAACAAGAACUGAAAGACUCUUAGGCGGCUACAGAAAGCGUUUACAAGCUGUGAUACUUGCCAAAGGGGGUGUUCUGAACAUGCAGGGUGCCCAAACUUUUGCUUCGGCCCUUAUCAACUUUUGUUACUUUGAAAUUGUAAAAGAUGGAAAUAAAAAAAUAAUCUUGCUUAAAAUAUUAAAGAAAUGUGUCAACUUUAACUUUAUGCCUUUUGGAAAUCAGGUCAUUUUUUACUCACUUAGCUAUUCACAGUAAGAGAAAUUUUGACCGAGGUGCCUAAACUUUUGCAUACCACUGUAUACAGCCUAUGUCACUUUAUGGACAUACAAUCUAUGUAUAUAAGCUACCUUAUGUAUUUAAUUUUUUGGGAUUUUUGUGCUGCAUCGAAUCGAGAGUAACAAUUCUCCUUUACACUUCUGUACAGGAAUUGACAUUAAACAAUCUUGAACAGUGUUAUUGUGCUAUGGUUAAAAGAAAACAUUCAAUUGGCCAUUUUAAUUCUGGUGUAAUAAUGGUCUAGGUAUCCAGGUCUUCCAGCCAUACCGCCCUGCGGUAACCCUAACCUAAUUACGGGACAAUUUGCAAUGACCAACUAACUUACUAACUGUUAUGUUUUUGGACUGUGGGAGAAAACUCGCACAGUCCCGGAGAGAAUAUACAAGUUCCUGACAGGCAGCAGUGGGAAUUGAACCUGUGUCACUAGUAGUGUAAAGCGCUGUGCUAACCACUUUGCUACCUGCCUCUUACCAAGAAUUCAUGUGGAAUCUCGUUGUGGGGUCCAGGCCUUCAUGACUCCCUAGAAUCCUAACUCCGGGUGGCACAGUAGUAUAGUGGUUGGCAUAACACUUCUCAGUGCUAGCAAAAUUCAGAGACUGGACGUUCUUCCUGGGACCAUGUGGGAUUCUCUGGGUGCUCCAGUUUCCUCCCACAUUCGAAAGAUAUACAGGUUAGGGUUAGUAAGUUGUGGGCAUGCUUGUUGGUACUGAAAGUGUAUUGACACUUGUGGGUUGCCUCUAACACAAUCCUCCGACUGUGCUGGUCAUUGAUGCUGUAUGUUUCAAUGUUUUAAUGUACAUGUGACAAAUAAAACUGAAGUUUAUUAUCUG